rnacentral:rRNA from 1 species
ACUGCUCAGUAACACGUGGACAAUCUAACUUAUGGAGGGGGAUAACCUCGGGAAACUGAGGACAAUAACCCAUAGAAGUCAAGUACUGGAAUGUCUGACUUCAAAACGAGAAACCUGUAUUCGGUGUAUUGCCAUAAGAUGAGUCUGCGGCGGAUUAGUUUGACGGUAGGGUAACGGCCUACCGUGACUAUGAUCUGUACCGGCCUUGGGAGAGGGAGCCGGGAGAUGGACACUGAGACAAAGGUCCAGGCUCUACGGAGUGCAGCAGUCGCGAAACCUUCGCAAUACGCGAAAGCGUGACGAGGGAAUCCCAAGUGUGCAUGUACAGCAUGCACUUUUACCAAGCUUAGAACGCUUGGAGAAUAAGGGCUGGGUAAGACUGGUGCCAGCCUCCGCGGUAACACCAGCAGCUCAAGUGGUGAUCACGUUUACUGGGUUUAAAGGGUGCGUAGUCGGUUUGGCAAGUUUUCUGUGAAAUCCUGGCGCUUAACGUCAGGGAUGGCAGAAAAUACUACCAAGCUUGAGACCGGGGUAGGAGUGAGGUAUUCUAAGGGUAGCGGUGAAAUGCUAUAAUCCUUGGAGGACCACCAGUAGCGAAGGCGUCACUCUGGAACGGGUCUGACGAUGAGGUACGAGAGCUAGGGGAGCAAACAGGAUUAGAUACCCUGGUAGUCCUAGCCGUAAACGAUGCUGAUUUAGUGUUCCUUGAACCUCGUGUUCAGGGAGCGCUGAAGGGAAACCGUUAAAUCAGUCACCUGGGGAGUACGGUCGCAAGGCUGAAACUUAAAGGAAUUGGCGGGGGAGCACAAU